AUCUCGUACCUGUCAAAGUCGGGCCAUCGGUUGCCGACAAAAGGGGGAGGAGACAAAAAGAAAGGAAGGCGAGGGUAAGUACCAUUGGCACGUACUUGCGAGACAAGACCAGCUAUGCUCGCUGGUGGGCGGUAUAAACUUCACCCGGCUAUAUGUGGAGUUAGCGGCAGCAAAGCUACUAUCCAAUAGAGACACGCUACAACAUCUGUCUACUCAGAGAAGAUAAGAGAGCGCACAAGGUAACAGUUCUAUACUCUGCAAACAUAACACAGCCGAUGCGAUCCCCCUUCGCAAAGAGGUACUGUCAAAGGCACACA